AUUGAACGCUGGCGGCAGGCCUAACACAUGCAAGUCGAGCGAGCGGCGGACGGGUGAGUAAUGUAUGGGGACUGCCCGAUAGAGGGGGAUAACUACUGGAAACGGUGGCUAAUACCGCAUACUAUCGGAUAACCCAUAUGGGAUUAGCUAGUAGGUGGGGUAAAGGCUCACCUAGGCGACUAUCUCUAGCUGGUCUGAGAGGAUGAUAAGCCACACGGGGACGGAGACACGGCCCAGACGCCGACGGAGGCAGCAGUGGGGAAUAUUGCACAAUGGGCGCAAGACUGAUGCAGCCAUGCCGCGUGUAUGAAGCAGGCCUUCGGGUUGUAAAGUACCUUCAGCGAGGAUGCGUUACUCGCAGAAGAAGCACCGGCUAACUCCGUGCCAGCAGCCGCGGUAAUUC
rnacentral:rRNA from 1 species